AUUGAACGCUGGCGGCAGGCCUAACACAUGCAAGUCGAGCGGAUGAAGGGAGCUUGCUCCUGGAUUCAGCGGCGGACGGGUGAGUAAUGCCUAGGAAUCUGCCUGGUAGUGGGGGAUAACGUCCGGAAACGGGCGCUAAUACCGCAUACGUCCUGAGGGAGAAAGUGGGGGAUCUUCGGACCUCACGCUAUCAGGUGAGCCUAGGUCGGAUUAGCUAGUUGGUGGGGUAAAGGCCUACCAAGGCGACGAUCCGUAACUGGUCUGAGAGGAUGAUCAGUCACACUGGAACUGAGACACGGUCCAGACUCCUACGGGAGGCAGCAGUGGGGAAUAUUGGACAAUGGGCGAAAGCCUGAUCCAGCCAUGCCGCGUGUGUGAAGAAGGUCUUCGGAUUGUAAAGCACUUUAAGCUGGGAGGAAGGGCAGUAAGUUAAUACCUUGCUGUUUUGACGUUACCAACAGAAUAAGCACCGGCUAACUUCGUG
rnacentral:rRNA from 1 species